ensembl:lncRNA
GCAUUAUUGAGACCUUAAAAGCUUGGUGCUAACAACAAAUGAGCACUGGCCUGGAAAAUCCACUUCCUCUUAGGCAUGAUGAGGUAGGGAUCUGGAAAGCAAGUUUUAGGUAUUUGCAGAAUCUCCCUGCAUUAAAAAAAAAAAAGAAAGAAAGCAAGCAAGAAAGAAAAAAUGGUCACAGUCAUAUACAGGCUGCUUUCAUGGAAUCAUUCAGUUCUGCAGCCCCUGUAUGUGAUCCAAACCUCUUUGCAUCUCCGACUGCAGCCCAGUACCUGAGGGUCAAGUACCCCACUGAGAGCUCAGAAAGAGAAGCCAGAAAAAGAUAUGGAGCUGGUACGGGUGACUGUUGAGCACAGAUGGCCAGUUAUCGAUGUAAUCUGUGUAUCUGGGAGGCAUGUGCUGUAAGAAGGCAGCUGCUAAACUGAAUUAAGCCACAGUUUUUAAGAAGAGAAAGUGGAUUGGAAACGGAUAGAAGUUUUGAAUGUAUGCGGCUGUGUGAAGCUAUGAUCUAUGGUUAAAAAUCAGGAUGAUAUGCACCAAGAGACUGAGGAUCUUUCCAAAGUACAACCCUACGGAAGCCAGAUGCAAGCCAUAAUGUCUGUGGAAAACGAGCCAACGCUACUUUGUUCUGGCUAUAUAACUCUCCCCUUUCUGGACUACAUAGGUCUCCCUUCCUGUUGCUUCAAGUACAAAGAAACAUUUCCAACUCAGCUCUUGGCUCCCUGACCAGUUGUGUGACCUUGAGUAGUCAGUUUUUUCUGAGUCUCAGUUUCUUCAAAUAUAAUGUAGGUGUAAUUCAUAGAACAAAUAUGAAGACCAAGAUAGACAAUCCAUGGCUAGUUGUUCUAAGCCUGGCACAGAGUAAUAAUACAUAAAUAAUACAGUGAUGGUC